rnacentral:tRNA from 1 species
GCCGGCAUAGCUCAGUUGGUUAGAGCGGCGGUUUUGUAAACCGUAGGUCGUGGGUUCGAAUCCCUCUGCCGGCUCCA